GGUUAAGCGACUAAGCGUACACGGUGGAUGCCUAGGCAAUCAGAGGCGAUGAAGGACGUGCUAAUCUGCGAUAAGCGUCGGUAAGGUGAUAUGAACCGUUACAACCGACGAUUUCCGAAUGGGGAAACCCAGUGCAAUUCGUUGCACUAUCGUUUGAUGAAUACAUAGUCAAACGAAGCGAACCGGGGGAACUGAAACAUCUCAGUACCCCGAGGAAAAGAAAUCAACCGAGAUUCCCCUAGUAGCGGCGAGCGAACGGGGAGCAGCCCAGAGUCUUAAUCAGCAUUAGCAUCAGGAGAACGGUCUGGAAAGUCCGGCAGUAAAGGGUGAUAGCCCCGUAUCCGAAGGUGUUAGUGUUGUGAACUCGACGAGUAGGGCGGGACACGUGUUAUCCUGUCUGAAUAUGGGGGGACCAUCCUCCAAGGCUAAAUACUCCUGAUUGACCGAUAGUGAACCAGUACCGUGAGGGAAAGGCGAAAAGAACCCCGGCGAGGGGAGUGAAAUAGAACCUGAAACCGUGUACGUACAAGCAGUGGGAGCCUUGAUUUAUCAGGGUGACUGCGUACCUUUUGUAUAAUGGGUCAGCGACUUAUAUUCUGUAGCAAGGUUAACCGAAUAGGGGAGCCGUAGGGAAACCGAGUCUUAACUGGGCGAAUAAGUUGCAGGGUAUAGACCCGAAACCCGGUGAUCUAGCCAUGGGCAGGUUGAAGGUUGGGUAACACUAACUGGAGGACCGAACCGACUAAUGUUGAAAAAUUAGCGGAUGACUUGUGGCUGGGGGUGAAAGGCCAAUCAAACCGGGAGAUAGCUGGUUCUCCCCGAAAGCUAUUUAGGUAGCGCCUCGUGAACUCAUCUUCGGGGGUAGAGCACUGUUUCGACUAGGGGGUCAUCCCGACUUACCAACUCGAUGCAAACUACGAAUACCGAAGAAUGUUAUCACGGGAGACACACGGCGGGUGCUAACGUUCGUCGUGAAGAGGGAAACAACCCAGACCGCCAGCUAAGGUCCCAAAGUCAUAGUUAAGUGGGAAACGAAGUGGGAAGGCUCAGACAGCCAGGAUGUUGGCUUAGAAGCAGCCAUCAUUUAAAGAAAGCGUAAUAGCUCACUGGUCGAGUCGGCCUGCGCGGAAGAUGUAACGGGGCUAAACUAUGCACCGAAGCUGCGGCAGCGA
rnacentral:rRNA from 1 species